rnacentral:rRNA from 1 species
AGGGCAAAUUUAAUAAAAAAAAAAAUAUGAAAAAAAAUUUUUAUAGAAAUUUAAUGGGGGUUAAAGUAUACAUAUAGAAAAAAUUUUCAAAUUUAUAGUUAAUUAGUAUUGUGUAAGAAAAUUGAAAAUAUUGAAAUAAAAAUUCAUAAUAAAGUAAAUUUAAUUUGUUGUAUCUUGGGUAUCAGAGUUUAUUAAAAAAAAAUAAUUUAGUUAAAUUUAUUUCGAAUUUUAAAGAGUUAAUUAAUUAAAAAAGUUAAUAUUGCAUAAUUAUUUUUAAUAGUUAAUUAAAAAUGAAAAGUUAAUCGUUUUAAAAGAUAUCUAAUUUUUUUAGAAAAAAAUUUAAUUUUAAAUUAAUUUAGGAAAAAAUUAAUUAAUUAAUUUUUUCCUAAAUUAAUUUUAUAUUUUAGGGGAUAAGCUUUAAAUUAAAUUUUUAUAAUAAAAAUAAAAUAAUUGAAAUUUUUAAGAUUUUUAUUUUUUAAAAAUUAUAGUUUUUUAUAAAUAAUUUCAUUUAAUUAAAAUUUUAUUUUAAUUUAAUUUUUUAUAAAAAAAUAUUUUAGAAUAAAAAUAAAAUAGCUAUAAUGAUAAAAUUAGUAUAUAAUUAAUUAAUAAAAAAAAAAUAAAUUAAUAAAAUUAAUAAAAAGGAAUUCGGCAAAAUU